rnacentral:tRNA from 1 species
UUGUGUGUGGCUGACUGGUAAUGGUGUUUGGCUCAUGAUCAUAUGGUCAUGAGUUCAACUCUUGACAGACAAU